GCCAGUGUGACGUAGUGGUUUGAGUGUUGGGUUACAAUUCUGGAGACCAGGGUUCAAAUCCCUACUCACCCA